GGGGUUGUGGCUCAGUGGUAGCGCACUUGCCUAGCAGGCAUGAUGCACUUAGUUAGAUUCUGAGCACCACA
rnacentral:tRNA from 1 species